UUUAGUUUUAAAACACAACUCCAUCUCCCAAAAUCCCUUAACCUAAAAUUCCUAAACCUAACUUCAUCAAGAAAACUAUUACGUCAAAGAACAAUUACGCAUCGCAUAUCUGAACUUCGAUUUCCUGGAGUUUGUGGAUGCUAGGUGAUUUUUGUCCGAACCUAAUUCCAAAACUCUCCCUUAUGUUUGUUUUGAAGCUAUUCUUCAAUGGUGAUUGGAAGUUAAGUAUCAACCAGAAGCAGAAGCAUCUAGCCAUAAUUUAGAUGAAUUGUCCAAGAGAGUUUAUUUCUUCAGAAACGGCAAGUCCAUUGAAUCUAAACUCAUAUGAGUUCUCAAGGACAUGCAAAUCCUUAAGAUAAAGUUCCUUCAUUAUGCUCCAUUUUCUUGAAGAGAUAAUUCCUUCAUUUUGAAACAGGAUUUGGAGUUUAGUUUACAAGUCAAGAUGCAAUUCUAAAGAUUUCAAACAAGUUGGCAAAUUUGUUAUCGUUUUUCUAUGACUGUUAGACAAAACAUUAUUACUACAGACGUUAGCCUUUGUUGGCUAAUGAGUUGUGCAAAUAGUAUUGUGACUUAUAUAUUUUUUGUAAACAAUGGUAUUA